GGAGAGCUGUCCGAGUGGUUGAAGGAGCACGAUUGGAAAUCGUGUAUACGUAAUAUAAGCGUAUCAUGGGUUCAAAUCCCAUGCUCUCCGCCA
rnacentral:tRNA from 2 species